rnacentral:rRNA from 1 species
AUUGAACGCUGGCGGCAGGCUUAACACAUGCAAGUCGAGCGAGCGGCGGACGGGUGAGUAAUGUCUGGGAAACUGCCUGAUGGAGGGGGAUAACUACUGGAAACGGUCGCUAAUACCGCAUACCAUCAGAUUUGCCCAGAUGGGAUUAGCUAGUAGUUGGGGUAAUGGCUCACCUAGGCGACGAUCCCUAGCUGGUCUGAGAGGAUGACGAGAAAGACUGGAGUGGGAACACGGUACAGACUCCUACGGGGGGAAGCAGUGGGGAAUAUUGCACAAUGGGCGCAAGCCUGAUGCAGCCAUGCCGGGUGUGUGAAGAAGGCCGUCGGGUUGUAAAGCACUUUCAGCGAGAAGGCGUUAAUCGCAGAAGAAGCACCGGCUAACUCCGUGCCAGCAGCCGCGGUAAUAC